AUGCCCUGCUUCCAGGAAAAGCCUCUAAGCAUCAGGUAACAUUAAAUCGUACCCCAAACCGACACAGGUGGUCAGGUAGAGAAUACCAAGGCGCUUGAGAGAACUCGGGUGAAGGAACUAGGCAAAAUGGUGCCGUAACUUCGGGAGAAGGCACGCUGGUGUGUAGGUGAAGUCCCUGCGGAUGGAGCUGAGACCAGUCGAAGAUACCAGCUGGCUGCAACUGUUUAUUAAAAACACAGCACUGUGCAAACACGAAAGUGGACGUAUACGGUGUGACGCCUGCCCGGUGCCGGAAGGUUAAUUGAUGGGGUUAUCCGUAAGGAGAAGCUCUUGAUCGAAGCCCCGGUAAACGGCGGCCGUAACUAUAACGGUCCUAAGGUAGCGAAAUUCCUUGUCGGGUAAGUUCCGACCUGCACGAAUGGCGUAAUGAUGGCCAGGCUGUCUCCACCCGAGACUCAGUGAAAUUGAACUCGCUGUGAAGAUGCAGUGUACCCGCGGCAAGACGGAAAGACCCCGUGAACCUUUACUAUAGCUUGACACUGAACAUUGAGCCUUGAUGUGUAGGAUAGGUGGGAGGCUUUGAAGCGUGGACGCCAGUCUGCGUGGAGCCAACCUUGAAAUACCACCCUUUAAUGUUUGAUGUUCUAACGUUGGCCCCUUACCGGGGUUGCGGACAGUGUCUGGUGGGUAGUUUGACUGGGGCGGUCUCCUCCCAAAGCGUAACGGAGGAGCACGAAGGUUAGCUAAUCCUGGUCGGACAUCAGGAGGUUAGUGCAAUGGCAUAAGCUAGCUUGACUGCGAGCGUGACGGCGCGAGCAGGUGCGAAAGCAGGUCAUAGUGAUCCGGUGGUUCUGAAUGGAAGGGCCAUCGCUCAACGGAUAAAAGGUACUCCGGGGAUAACAGGCUGAUACCGCCCAAGAGUUCAUAUCGACGGCGGUGUUUGGCACCUCGAUGUCGGCUCAUCACAUCCUGGGGCUGAAGUAGGUCCCAAGGGUAUGGCUGUUCGCCAUUUAAAGUGGUACGCGAGCUGGGUUUAGAACGUCGUGAGACAGUUCGGUCCCUAUCUGCCGUGGGCGCUGGAGAAUUGAGGGGGGCUGCUCCUAGUACGAGAGGACCGGAGUGGACGCAUCACUGGUGUUCGGGUUGUCAUGCCAAUGGCACUGCCCGGUAGCUAAAUGCGGAAGAGAUAAGUGCUGAAAGCAUCUAAGCACGAAACUUGCCCCGAGAUGAGUUCUCCCUGAGACUU
rnacentral:rRNA from 2 species